UACGAACUGUGCAAACGUUAUUCGGAAUCACUGGGCUUAAAGGGUGCGUAGGUGGGACUGUAAGUCAGUGGUGAAAUCUCCGGGCUUAACCUGGAAACUGCCAUUGAUACUAUAGUUCUUGAAUUUUCUGGAGGUAAGCGGAAUAUGUCAUGUAGCGGUGAAAUGCUUAGAUAUGACAUAGAACACCAAUUGCGAGGGCAGCUUACUACGGGAAUAUUGACACUGAGGCACGAAAGCGUGGGGAUCAAACAGG
rnacentral:rRNA from 1 species